AGACGCUGCUGCUUCCUCCGUGUGAUCCGGGGCUCGGGCUGAGCAGCUGCUGCUCCCCGGGGUCUGUGCGGGGAGAGCCCGGCAUUAACCCCUCCGUGCCCGGCCGGGGGGAGGGGCUUUCUCCAGCUGGGACCCGCCCCCUGGGCAGCCCCGGGCCGGAGCCCCCGGCCUUCCAUUCUCCUGUUAAAGAAGCAUCCCGCAGGGCUCCCUCUGCCUAUGUGACUGGCCAGCACGGGGUGGUGAUAACUUUCUAUCCACUCAUCAGACACUGUGAGCAUCCCUGGGCAGAAUCACUUUCCAGUGAACAACAAAAGGAUCAGACAGAGGAAAAACCAGUUCCUGACUCCAUAUUCCUCCUAAUAGGGUGUGGCUGCCGUGGGGUCAGUGUCCGAGGGAAUCCCCCACAGUGACUCCUUUGGUUCUGCUCUUUUCUAGCAUUGUGUUCAGA